GUGCCCGCCCGGCCCCUACUAAGCGGAGGCCGCUCCCUGAAUGGCCGCUGGUCCAGCUGCGCGUGCGCGGUGUGUCCCGCCGCUCCCAAGAUGGCGCCGCGGCGGUGACGGGAGGCGGUGUUCGCAGCGGGACUGAGCGGCGGAGCGCGGUCCCGGCGCCCUGCGGCAGGAUGAUCCCCACCGAAGAGGUGUCGGCCCGCAGGAGGGAGAUCGAGGGAAAGCUCAAGCAGGAAGAAGAAACUCUGUCCUUUAUCAAAGAGAGCCUUGAGAAGAGUGACCAGCUUACAAAGAACAUGGUUUCUAUCCUCUCCUCCUUUGAAAGUCGUUUGAUGAAGCUGGAGAACUCCAUCAUCCCUGUCCACAAACAGACGGAGAACCUGCAGCGCUUGCAGGAGAAUGUGGAGAAGACCUUGUCCUGCUUGGAUCAUGUCAUCAGUUACUACCAUGUGGCUAAGGACACAGAGAAGAUCAUAAAGGAAGGCCCCACUGGGAGGCUGGAGGAAUACUUGAAUUGCAUGGACAAAAUCCAGAAGGCGGUAGAAUACUUCCAGGACAAUAGUCCGGACAGCCCAGAGUUAAACCGUGUGAAAUCCCUCUUUGAGAGGGGCAAGGAGUCUCUGGAGUCCGAGUUUCGCAGCUUGAUGACACGACACACCAAGCCAGUCCCACCCAUUCUCAUCCUGGACCUGAUCAGCGGGGACGAUGAAAUGGAGACACAGGAGGAGAUGUCUCUGGAGCAUCUCCCAGAGAGUGUCCUGCACGACGUCAUCCGCAUUUCUGGCUGGCUGGUGGAAAACGGCAGGAAUCAAGAUUUCAUGACUGUUUACUUCCAAAUCCGCUCGGUCCAGCUCGACCGCUCCAUCAAGGGACUGAAAGACCAUUUCCGUAAGAGCAGCUCCUCCUCGGGGGUGCCCUAUUCCCCUGCCAUUCAGAACAAAAGGAAGGACACCCCCACCAAGAAGCCGAUCAAGAGACCAGUCCUCAUCCCAGGCACGAUCCGUAAGGCUCAGAACCUUCUGAAACAGUACUCUCAGCAUGGUCUAGAUGGGAAAAAGGGGGCCUCUAACCUCAUUCCUAUGGAAGGUCAUGAGCAUGACUUACGAGUUAAACACCUUUGCGAUACCUUGAGCGACAAGCAUGGGCCGGCCGCGGGGAGGGAUGACGUCUUCGACAUUGAGAUCGAUGCGUACAUUCACUGCGUUAGUGCCUUUGUCAAACUGGCCCAGAGCGAAUACCAGCUCCUGACAGAAAUCGUCCCAGAACACCACCAGAAGAAGACCUUUGAUUCUCUCAUCCAGGAGUCAUUAGAUAACUUGAUCAUGGAGGGUGACAACAUUGUCUCAGCUGCCCGAAAAGCCAUCAUCCGACACGACUAUUCGGCUGUGCUCACUAUCUUCCCCAUCCUUAAACAUCUCAAGCAGAUGAAGCCAGAAUUUGACCAGGUCUUGCAGGGAACUGCAGCAGGCACUAAGAACAAGCUGCCGGGGCUGAUCACUUCCAUGGAGACCACCGGUGCGAAGGCCCUGGAAGAGUUUGCAGACAACAUUAAGAAUGAUCCGGACAAGGAAUAUAAUAUGCCAAAAGAUGGGACAGUUCAUGAACUCACCAGUAAUGCCAUCCUUUUCCUACAGCAAUUGUUGGAUUUUCAGGAGACAGCAGGUGCCAUGCUGGCAUCGCAAGUUCUUGGGGACACAUACAAUAUUCCUUUAGAUCACAGAGAGACCAGCUCUUCAGCUAGCAGUUACAGCUCAGAGUUCAGCAGGCGGCUGCUGAGCACCUACAUCUGCAAAGUGCUGGGCAACUUGCAGCUUAACCUUCUUAGUAAAUCCAAGGUUUAUGAAGACCCAGCUUUGAGUGCCAUUUUCCUGCACAACAACUACAACUACAUUCUGAAAUCUCUGGAAAAGUUUUCUGUUCUUUCAGGUCUGAGUUGAUCCAGUUGGUAGCUGUGACACAGAAGACAGCUGAGAGGUCUUACCGGGAGCUCAUCGAACAGCAGAUCCAGACCUACCAGCGCAGUUGGUUGAAGGUCACAGAGUACAUCUCAGAGAGAAACCUGCCUGUCUUUCAGCCAGGAGUGAAGCUCAAGGAUAAGGAGAGGCAGAUGAUAAAGGAGCGCUUUAAGGGUUUUAAUGAUGGGCUGGAGGAGCUGUGCAAGAUCCAGAAGGCCUGGGCAAUCCCAGACGUGGAGCAACGGGACAAAAUCCGCCGGGCACAGAAACACAUUGUGAAAGAGACCUAUGGUGCCUUCUUGAACAGAUACGGCAACGUGCCCUUCACCAAGAACCCCGAGAAGUACAUCAAAUACCAGGUCGACCAGGUGGGGGAGAUGAUCGAGAAGCUGUUUGACACGUCAGCAUAAAUCUCCAGCUGUCAUGUAUUCUGCAGCUGCCAAGUACACGUCUGCACUCCAUCAGCAACCUUUGGGACUCCCUUCUCUUCUCCCUUGCCCCAUUGUGGUGGGCAGGGUGUUAUACUUGUAUUUAUCAGAUUUAUAAACCUGUGGAAACACUA